rnacentral:antisense_RNA from 1 species
CUUCAACGAGCCCAGCCACAACGGUGUUUCCCGCUCCUGGCCGUAGGUCGCGAGCAACGCCUGGGCUUC